rnacentral:rRNA from 1 species
UACGUAGCGUGCGAGCGUUGUCCGGAAUUAUUGGGCGUAAAGAGCUCGUAGGCGGCUUGUCGCGUCGGAUGUGAAAGCCCGGGGCUUAACUCCGGGUCUGCAUUCGAUACGGGCAGGCUAGAGUUCGGUAGGGGAGAUCGGAAUUCCUGGUGUAGCGGUGAAAUGCGCAGAUAUCAGGAGGAACACCGGUGGCGAAGGCGGCUCACUGGCUCAUACUGGACGCUGAGGUGCGAAAGCGUGGGGAGCAAACAGG